AGCAUGACAGCUUCAUCAUGCUCCAGGGAUGACAUGCCCCCCCACUCAUCAGACUGGAAGUCAGCACCGUUUCUUGGGGAGUGAUUAAGAUUCUGUCGAGGACUUGAUAAUGGGCUAACAACACGUUCUUCGACAUCCUGAGCUGUUUCUGAACCUGAAGAUAUAGGUUUUCUUCUGCGCCAAACCAGUGGUUCCUCUUCUAAAUCUUCAGCCUCAUCUUGGAUGGAUGAACUCCCCACCUCUGAUCUAAAUUGCCUUCCAUUUGAAAUUGUUGAUUUUCCAUGCUCAUUCUCUUCAGCUGGCUUAUAACCUUCUGAUUCUGGUAUAGCUUUACUUCCUUCAUGCAUCGCUUUCUCCUGCUCAGCAGCCUUCAAAGACAAAGAGACUGCACGUGCAAGUUCAGCAUCCUCUAGAUGAGACUCCCUUGGUUGAGGCCUUGAAUCACUUAGAUCACUGUUGACAUCAAAUUGUUGGGUCGACAUUUCAGCAUCACGUCUAGAAGCUUCAAUCGCAGCACGAACCAUUUCCUCCUCAAUAUCAUUGGCAUAGUCUGGUAAGACAUCACCACCAGGAGCACUUGGUCCUGAGAAUACUGCUGUAGAGUCCCCACCAAAGAUAUCAUCAUUUGUUCUAUCACGCCUGACAGCACGUGUUGCCAGGGGACCUGGAAUUACUUCAUCAUCGUCAUCGUCCUCCUCAAUUAUGACAGUCCCACGAGUUUCUGGGCCUUGAGUCUGGUCAGCGUCUGUAACAUCCUCAAUAACAGGAGCAUUUCUAGAAUGACCAGAUUGUCCAUCCCCAUCCUUCACCUCAAUAGGGAUCUCUCUUACUUGUCUUGGAUGUGAAACAAACGGAGCACGGCUAGUAAGAUCGGUGUCAAACAUACUUCGAGUGAAACUAGGAUCAAGAAGGGAGAAAGCACUUGGAGUUCUAGAAGAGGAAAAAACUGAAAAGGGAGGUCUGUGAAAUUCCUCUGUAAUCGGAUCAUCUAUUUCCAUAUCAUCCUCGUGUGGAGCAGCA
rnacentral:misc_RNA from 1 species